CCUCUUUCAACUCAAAUAUAAAAAACAGUUGGCCUCUGACCAAUGUCCAGAAAAGUGCUCCCACAGAGAUAUCCCAAAAUUCCCUGUGUACCCUCAUUAGGAGUAGUGGAGAUGUUCUUAAAGACAAUUUUCAGAGACAAUAUCACAGUUUGACCACUGAGGAAGGCGCACUGCAGCGUCGAAAGCUUUGGCAAAGAAUCCUGUGUUUUUCGUGUCCCUGAAAAGAGAAACACUACUGACGCCCCCGGAAGGAGGUGAUCUCCCUGAAUCUUUAAAAUUCUACAUAACGUCAGU